CUGGAAAGAAAACUGAGUUUGUGUUCUAUAGUACAAAAGUUAUGAGACACGAAUCAGACAAAUGUUCACUACAACAGGGAUCAAAGGUGAGGUCUGACUGACCUGCCCAUAGUAAAUGUAAAUGAUUUGUUAUUUUGUCCCAUACAUGUGUACAUAUGAAUAUAUAUAAUUUAGGGGUGGGGAUCUCAACGGUUUUCAAGUUCUCAAACAGGUAGGGGUAGGCAGAGGAUUAAGGUGGGCAGGGGGCCCGGCCCCCCCUUUUUGGGAAAAAAAUUGGUUGCUUAUAUAGGGAAUCACUGAAGCGUGACUGGAGCAGGCCCCUCUUAGGUCAGUCAGUGGGCCCCACUUAUGAAAAUUUCAGGAUCUGCCACUGGGGGUAGGGUGACCCUAGGGACUUCCCCUACAUUUCAUUUUAUUUGUUAUAUUGUCCCAUCCAUGAAUAUAUAUGGUUUAGGGGUGGGGAUCUCAUUGGUUUCCAAGUUCUCAAACAGGAGGGGUAGGGUGACCCCAGGGACUCCCCCAUAUUUCAUUUAAUUAGUUAUAUUGGCCCAUACAUGAAUAUAUAUUGUUUUGG
rnacentral:lncRNA from 1 species